rnacentral:rRNA from 1 species
CCCAAAAAGUAGUGUGCACUUUUCUCUUAGUAAGACGCUGUGAUCCAUUAGAAAUUGAUACAUACAAAAUGUAUAUUGGGUCAUCAAUAGGCCAAUAUGAAGUUUAUCUGGUACAAAUGAUAUAAUCAUUAUACGAUUAUGUGUAUUGUCUAGUAAGCAUAUUGUGUUUAUCCUGUAAUGACUGUCUGAUGGAUUUUAAAGAUGAUAUUAUUAAUGUUUUUUAAUGGACAUUACUUAUUACGAUAAGUGUUAAAUAUCUAUCUGAUCAACGGCGGUUAAAUUUGGGAUACCUUUUGGACCCGUCUUGAAACACGGACCAAGGAGUCUAUCUAGUAUGCGAGUAAAUGGAUAUAAUUUAUGAAAUCUAUUUGCAUAAUAAACUUGACUAUUUUUUUAAUGGGAUUACGAGAAUAAAUAUACAUUAAAUUGUAAUUUAUCUCUUCCAUCCCGGGGUAUUUUUAUCAACAUAUACGCAAGUAUAUGAAAAAUAUACCAUGAGCACACUGGAUACGACCCGAAAGAUGGUGAACUAUGCCUGAUCAGAUCGAAGUCAGGGGAAACCCUGAUGGAGGAUCGAAGCAGUUCUGACGUGCAAAUCGAUGUCAGAAUGGGCAUA